rnacentral:rRNA from 1 species
CGAAAUGCGAUAAGUAGUGNGAAUUGCAGAAUUCAGUGAAUCAUCGAAUCUUUGAACGCACAUUGCG